CCUUCAAUGUCUGAUCUUCCUAUCAUUGUGAAGCAGAAUUCACCAAGCGUUGGAUUGUUCACUCACUAAUAGGGAAAGUAAGCUGGGUUUAGACCGUCAUGAGUCAGGUU
rfam:Oryzias latipes DNA, scaffold921, strain: Hd-rR.